GGGUUGUGAGGUUAAGCGACUAAGCGUACACGGUGGAUGCCCUGGCAGUCAGAGGCGAUGAAGGACGUGCUAAUCUGCGAUAAGCGUCGGUAAGGUGAUAUGAACCGUUAUAACCGGCGAUUUCCGAAUGGGGAAACCCAGUGUGAUUCGUCACACUAUCAUUAACUGAAUCCAUAGGUUAAUGAGGCGAACCGGGGGAACUGAAACAUCUAAGUACCCCGAGGAAAAGAAAUCAACCGAGAUUCCCCCAGUAGCGGCGAGCGAACGGGGAGGAGCCCAGAGCCUGAAUCAGUGUGUGUGUUAGUGGAAGCGUCUGGAAAGGCGCGCGAUACAGGGUGACAGCCCCGUACACAAAAAUGCACAUGCUGUGAGCUCGAUGAGUAGGGCGGGACACGUGGUAUCCUGUCUGAAUAUGGGGGGACCAUCCUCCAAGGCUAAAUACUCCUGACUGACCGAUAGUGAACCAGUACCGUGAGGGAAAGGCGAAAAGAACCCCGGCGAGGGGAGUGAAAAAGAACCUGAAACCGUGUACGUACAAGCAGUGGGAGCACGCUUAGGCGUGUGACUGCGUACCUUUUGUAUAAUGGGUCAGCGACUUAUAUUCUGUAGCAAGGUUAACCGAAUAGGGGAGCCGAAGGGAAACCGAGUCUUAACUGGGCGUUAAGUUGCAGGGUAUAGACCCGAAACCCGGUGAUCUAGCCAUGGGCAGGUUGAAGGUUGGGUAACACUAACUGGAGGACCGAACCGACUAAUGUUGAAAAAUUAGCGGAUGACUUGUGGCUGGGGGUGAAAGGCCAAUCAAACCGGGAGAUAGCUGGUUCUCCCCGAAAGCUAUUUAGGUAGCGCCUCGUGAAUUCAUCUCCGGGGGUAGAGCACUGUUUCGGCAAGGGGGUCAUCCCGACUUACCAACCCGAUGCAAACUGCGAAUACCGGAGAAUGUUAUCACGGGAGACACACGGCGGGUGCUAACGUCCGUCGUGAAGAGGGAAACAACCCAGACCGCCAGCUAAGGUCCCAAAGUCAUGGUUAAGUGGGAAACGAUGUGGGAAGGCCCAGACAGCCAGGAUGUUGGCUUAGAAGCAGCCAUCAUUUAAAGAAAGCGUAAUAGCUCACUGGUCGAGUCGGCCUGCGCGGAAGAUGUAACGGGGCUAAACCAUGCACCGAAGCUGCGGCAGCGACGCUGAUGCGUUGUUGGGUAGGGGAGCGUUCUGUAAGCCUGUGAAGGUGUGCUGUGAGGCAUGCUGGAGGUAUCAGAAGUGCGAAUGCUGACAUAAGUAACGAUAAAGCGGGUGAAAAGCCCGCUCGCCGGAAGACCAAGGGUUCCUGUCCAACGUUAAUCGGGGCAGGGUGAGUCGACCCCUAAGGCGAGGCCGAAAGGCGUAGUCGAUGGGAAACAGGUUAAUAUUCCUGUACUUGGUGUUACUGCGAAGGGGGGACGGAGAAGGCUAUGUUGGCCGGGCGACGGUUGUCCCGGUUUAAGCGUGUAGGCUGGUUUUCCAGGCAAAUCCGGAAAAUCAAGGCUGAGGCGUGAUGACGAGGCACUACGGUGCUGAAGCAACAAAUGCCCUGCUUCCAGGAAAAGCCUCUAAGCAUCAGGUAACAUCAAAUCGUACCCCAAACCGACACAGGUGGUCAGGUAGAGAAUACCAAGGCGCUUGAGAGAACUCGGGUGAAGGAACUAGGCAAAAUGGUGCCGUAACUUCGGGAGAAGGCACGCUGAUAUGUAGGUGAAGCGACUUGCUCGUGGAGCUGAAAUCAGUCGAAGAUACCAGCUGGCUGCAACUGUUUAUUAAAAACACAGCACUGUGCAAACACGAAAGUGGACGUAUACGGUGUGACGCCUGCCCGGUGCCGGAAGGUUAAUUGAUGGGGUUAGCGCAAGCGAAGCUCUUGAUCGAAGCCCCGGUAAACGGCGGCCGUAACUAUAACGGUCCUAAGGUAGCGAAAUUCCUUGUCGGGUAAGUUCCGACCUGCACGAAUGGCGUAAUGAUGGCCAGGCUGUCUCCACCCGAGACUCAGUGAAAUUGAACUCGCUGUGAAGAUGCAGUGUACCCGCGGCAAGACGGAAAGACCCCGUGAACCUUUACUAUAGCUUGACACUGAACAUUGAGCCUUGAUGUGUAGGAUAGGUGGGAGGCUUUGAAGUGUGGACGCCAGUCUGCAUGGAGCCGACCUUGAAAUACCACCCUUUAAUGUUUGAUGUUCUAACGUUGACCCGUAAUCCGGGUUGCGGACAGUGUCUGGUGGGUAGUUUGACUGGGGCGGUCUCCUCCUAAAGAGUAACGGAGGAGCACGAAGGUUGGCUAAUCCUGGUCGGACAUCAGGAGGUUAGUGCAAUGGCAUAAGCCAGCUUGACUGCGAGCGUGACGGCGCGAGCAGGUGCGAAAGCAGGUCAUAGUGAUCCGGUGGUUCUGAAUGGAAGGGCCAUCGCUCAACGGAUAAAAGGUACUCCGGGGAUAACAGGCUGAUACCGCCCAAGAGUUCAUAUCGACGGCGGUGUUUGGCACCUCGAUGUCGGCUCAUCACAUCCUGGGGCUGAAGUAGGUCCCAAGGGUAUGGCUGUUCGCCAUUUAAAGUGGUACGCGAGCUGGGUUUAGAACGUCGUGAGACAGUUCGGUCCCUAUCUGCCGUGGGCGCUGGAGAACUGAGGGGGGCUGCUCCUAGUACGAGAGGACCGGAGUGGACGCAUCACUGGUGUUCGGGUUGUCAUGCCAAUGGCACUGCCCGGUAGCUAAAUGCGGAAGAGAUAAGUGCUGAAAGCAUCUAAGCACGAAACUUGCCCCGAGAUGAGUUCUCCCUGACUCCUUGAGAGUCCUGAAGGAACGUUGAAGACGACGACGUUGAUAGGCCGGGUGUGUAAGCGCAGCGAUGCGUUGAGCUAACCGGUACUAAUGAACCGUGAGGCUUAACCUUACAACGCCGAAGGUGUUU
rnacentral:rRNA from 1 species